GAGGUCAAGCCUGCCCAGUGACAUUGUUCAACGGCCGCGGUAUCCUAACCGUGCGAAGGUAGCGUAAUCACUUGUUCUUUAAAUGAGGACUAGUAUGAACGGCUUCACGAAAGCUAUACUGUCUCCUUUAUCCAAUCAGUUAAACUAAUCUUCCCGUGAAGAAGCGGGAAUUUAUUUAUAAGACGAGAAGACCCUAUGGAGCUUUAAAUAUUUUUAAACAUUCGAAUUUUACAUUACUAUUUCAGAAAACUUUACUAAGCCCAUCGUUUUGUUUUAAGUUUUAGGUUGGGGUGACCACGGAGUAUAACUUAACCUCCACGCAGAAAGAGACUUUUCCUCUAAGCAAAAAGCUACACCUUUAUGCAUCAAGAAAUUGACCUUAAUUGACCCAUUAUUUGAUCAACGAACCAAGUUACCCUAGGGAUAACAGCGCAAUCCGCUUUAAGAGCUCCUAUCGACAAGCGGGCUUACGACCUCGAUGUUGGAUCAGGGUAUCCUAGUGGUGCAGCAACUACUAAUGGUUCGUUUGUUCAACGAUUAAAAC
rnacentral:rRNA from 1 species